GUCACCCCAAGUCUGCUGGGGAGACGUCGUGGGAACGGUGGUGAGGGGCAGUGGAGUGACUGUGGGGCGAAGGGAACGCAGGAGGGCAUGGAGCCUCGGACCGCUCUCGGGCCAUCUCCAUGCCCUCAUCGAUAACAGGCCGUGAAAACCAGCAGACGGGCAGUCUCAGGAGCCAUGAGGUGAAGGCAGACGCAGGGUGCCAGGUGCACAGGAAACCGUGGCAGAGAUGAGCACACAAACCUACUCAGCCUGGUAAUCUUAACAUGAAAUCAAAACCUCUGCAGAAUCUGGAAAGGAAAUCAGAGGUGUGAGACAGUGAUGCCGCAAUCCUGUGCCUCUGCCUGCAGACAUUUGGGGCUUGACUUCUGAAUUUAUAGUAAAUUGGGUAAAUUGAGAA